rnacentral:rRNA from 1 species
UACGUAGGGUGCAAGCGUUGUCCGGAAUUAUUGGGCGUAAAGAGCUCGUAGGCGGUCUGUCGCGUCGGCUGUGAAAACCCGGGGCUCAACCCCGGGCCUGCAGUCGAUACGGGCAGACUAGAGUGCGGUAGGGGAGACUGGAAUUCCUGGUGUAGCGGUGAAAUGCGCAGAUAUCAGGAGGAACACCGGUGGCGAAGGCGGGUCUCUGGGCCGUAACUGACGCUGAGGAGCGAAAGCGUGGGGAGCGAACGGG